rnacentral:rRNA from 1 species
GGAUGAACGCUGGCGGCGUGCUUAACACAUGCAAGUCGAACGAUGAACCUCACUUGUGGGGGGAUUAGUGGCGAACGGGUGAGUAACACGUGAGUAACCUGCCCUUGACUCUGGGAUAAGCCUGGGAAACCGGGUCUAAUACUGGAUACGACCUUCUGGCGCAUGCCAUGUUGGUGGAAAGCUUUUGUGGUUUUGGAUGGACUCGCGGCCUAUCAGCUUGUUGGUGGGGUAAUGGCCUACCAAGGCGACGACGGGUAGCCGGCCUGAGAGGGUGACCGGCCACACUGGGACUGAGACACGGCCCAGACUCCUACGGGAGGCAGCAGUGGGGAAUAUUGCACAAUGGGCGCAAGCCUGAUGCAGCGACGCCGCGUGAGGGAUGAAGGCCUUCGGGUUGUAAACCUCUUUCAGUAGGGAAGAAGCCGGCUUUUGGGUUGGUGACGGUACCUGCAGAAGAAGCGCCGGCUAACUACGUG